rnacentral:tRNA from 5 species
GGGCGGUUAGCUCAGCGGUAGAGCAUCGCUUUCACACGGCGAGGGUCACAGGUUCAAGCCCUGUACCGCCCACCA